GGCCUACCAUGGUGGUAACGGGUAACGGGGAAUUAGGGUUCGAUUCCGGAGAGGGAGCCUGAGAAACGGCUACCACAUCCAAGGAAGGCAGCAGGCGCGCAAAUUACCCAAUCCCGACACGGGGAGGUAGUGACAAUAAAUAACAAUACGGGGCCCUUUCGGGUCUCGUAAUUGGAAUGAGUACAAUUUAAAUCCCUUAACGAGGAACAAUUGGAGGGCAAGUCUGGUGCCAGCAGCCGCGGUAAUUCCAGCUCCAAUAGCGUAUAUUAAAGUUGUUGCAGUUAAAAAGCUCGUAGUUGAAUUUCGGGAUUGAUACAUCGGUCGUGCCUUAAGGGGUAUGAACUGGUGUAGUCAAUUUCUCACCUUCUGGAGAACCGCGAUGCCCUUAAUUGGGUGUCGCGGGGAACCAGGACCUUUACUUUGAAAAAAUUAGAGUGUUUAAAGCAGGCAUUUUGCUUGAAUACAUUAGCAUGGAAUAAUAAAAUAGGACGGCAUGAUUCUAUUUUGUUGGUUUCUAGGAUCACCGUAAUGAUUAAUAGGGAUAGUUGGGGGCAUUAGUAUUCAAUUGUCAGAGGUGAAAUUCUUGGAUUUAUUGAAGACUAACUACUGCGAAAGCAUUUGCCAAGGAUGUUUUCAUUAAUCAAGAACGAAAGUUAGGGGAUCGAAGACGAUCAGAUACCGUCGUAGUCUUAACCAUAAACUAUGCCGACUAGGAAUCAGACGAUGUUAAUUUUUUAAUGACUCGUUUGGCACCUUACGGGAAACCAAAGUGUUUGGGUUC
rnacentral:rRNA from 1 species